rnacentral:rRNA from 1 species
GACGAACCGUGCGAACGUUGUUCGGAUUCACUGGGCUUAAAGGGCGCGUAGGCGGGCGACCAAGUCAGGGGUGAAAUCUUUCGGCCCAACCGGAAAAGUGCCCCUGAUACUGGCCGCCUCGAGGGGGGUAGGGGCAUGCGGAACUUCCGGUGGAGCGGUGAAAUGCGUAGAUAUCGGAAGGAACGCCGGUGGCGAAAGCGGCGUGCUGGACCCCUUCUGACGCUGAGGCGCGAAAGCGUGGGGAGCAAACAGG